GACAGACACACCUCUCUCCCCUAUAUAGUGGAGGAUUUCAAUAUCAUCAUUCAUUCUUCAAAUAGGCUUGAUCUUGAAGUGGAGUGAGAUAAGAGAGAAUACAAAGCACUUCAAAUCCUGCCCCACAUAAAAUGGCAAUCAAUAUGAGACCUGAACCAUAUAAUGGUUAAAAGAAGAGGAUAAUGUAUAUUGACUUACUGACCUGAACCAGAUAAUAAAAUAUGCGAAGACCUUCAGGAUCCUUACUGCUCUGAACAUCAACAAGGGACCCAAUCUUUGAAGUUGUGAAAGAGAUGUGCUCAUUCCCCAUCACUAUCUCAAGCUCUUGCCGCCC
rnacentral:lncRNA from 1 species